rnacentral:rRNA from 1 species
UACGUAGGGUGCGAGCGUUGUCCGGAAUUACUGGGCGUAAAGGGCGCGUAGGCGGUGUGUCAAGUCAGGCGUGAAAGCCCCGGGCUCAACCUGGGAACAGCGCUUGAGACUGGCACGCUCGAGUUCGGGAGAGGAUGGUGGAAUUCCCAGUGUAGAGGUGAAAUUCGUAGAUAUUGGGAAGAACACCAGUGGCGAAGGCGAGUCCCUGGACAACUCCUGACACUGAGGCACGAAAGCUAGGGGAGCAAACAGG